UCGAUCCAGAACCUUCAUGGUGAAACGGAGACCAUUGGCUGAGAGAACAAGUGUUGAGGAAUCACUCUAUGAUCGUUGUUUAGUUCGAAGUUUCAAAAUCGAGUCUCAUCAAACAAGGUAAUGCAUCUUACCUUGAAGAUGCAUCUGCUGCGAGCGAAGGAUAUAUUGGUGAAUCAGAAUUGAGGGAGUAACUCCAAAGCUCAAAGCAUGGGACGUACUGGAAGAUGAAAGUUUCAUCUAUACAGCAUGAAGAGGAAACUGGACUGUAAAUCCGGGAGGAAGAGGGUAGCAACAAAGCUCCAGCACAAACCGAGGAUCAAGAAAUAGCAUCAAAAAGCAAAUUAGAUACCUUUGCUUCAUUUUGGCAAAUGAUAAUGUAUUGAUGGAGAUGUUACAAUUGACAUAAAAGCAUGAUGGAUGCAAUGGCAAAAGUGUUGCCAAGUUCGGCAUUCUGUAUAGGUCGGCAGUAAGGCUGUAUAUGCUCAAUGUAACAAAGAGUUCAGAAGCUAAAUGUCUUUGAUCUAUAAGAUGGACAUAAACACAAGGUGGACCACUUUAAGGAUACCAAGGUGGAAGCUAAUUCAAACCUAAUCACAAUAAAGAAUGCCGAUGACCAUUUUCUUCUUCACAAACUUUAGCAUCACAAAACGUGAGAUAAAAUAGGUUGAAAUCAUGACAAAAGUUCCUCGUCAAGUAUAUAACAUACUACAUCAUUGAACUUGCAUUGCAUCACAUGUUCAUUUGACAUUCAAAGGAAAAUUUGGGCCCACAUAAUGAUAGUGUUCAUAAUAUUUACGGCUACUAAUGCAAGCUACUAAGUUCAAACUUUGAGAAAUGGAAACCAAUGAUAAUUAUUUUCUUUUCUUUUAUAAGUAAACGCACUGGACUAAUGUGGUUCCUAGAGAAUGCAAGCCACUACAAUGUCAUCUAAAAUACGUGGAAAACAAUUUAAUAAAAAGCAGAA